rnacentral:rRNA from 1 species
GACGAACGCUGGCGGCGUGCUUAACACAUGCAAGUCGAACGGUAAGGCCCUUCGGGGUACACGAGUGGCGAACGGGUGAGUAACACGUGGGUGAUCUGCCCUGCACUUCGGGUUAAGCCUGGGAAACUGGGUCUAAUACCGGAUAGGACUCCGGACUGCAUGGUCUGGGGUGGAAAGCUUUUGCGGUGUGGGAUGGGCCCGCGGCCUAUCAGCUUGUUGGUGGGGUGAUGGCCUACCAAGGCGACGACGGGUAGCCGGCCGGAGAGGGUGACCGGCCACACUGGGACUGAGAUCCGGCCCAGACUCCUACGGGAGGCAGCAGUGGGGAAUAUUGCACAAUGGGCGCAAGCCUGAUGCAGCGACGCCGCGUGAGGGAUGACGGCCUUCGGGUUGUAAACCUCUUUCAGCAUCGACGAAGCGAAAGUGACGGUAGGUGCAGAGAAGGACCGGCCAACUACGUGCCAGCAGCCGCCGUAA